AAUUAUUGUGAAAUUUAUUUAUGUAUAUAUUCUAGUCUAUUCCAACACUUAACAUGUAAGUGGCAAGAUGACAAGAACAUAUUAAGAAUCUGAAAACUGAUGUGAUUGCCUUUAGUUAAAUCAACAACAAGUAAUACAUUAAAAGUGAUUCUCACUAGGCCAAAGGGCAGCAUUCUAAACUCCUAUGAAAGGCAGGAAGGGGCUCCCUUAUUUAUAAAUAAUUUACACAAGAAAAUAAAUGUCAAAUAAUACAUGAGACAAAAAUGUGGUUAUUUCUACUUAGGGAAAAUAAAUUUUGCUUUACAUAUCUCCUUGAACUUUUUCUGAUAUACAUGUAAAACAAUAGAAAAAAUUGUUCUAACUAUCUUACAAAUAAGGGGCUAAUUCACUAUCUGCAAUUAAUGAAAAAGGAAGAAUUAUUCCUUCAU
rnacentral:lncRNA from 1 species